rnacentral:lncRNA from 1 species
AAAUGUUAUGUGUAUUUCAUAGAUCGAACCUAACAAAUUACAACAUACACUUUAUUCAAAACAACAAAAAAGAAGAGAGAGAGAGAGAGAGAGGUAGGAAGAACAUUCAUAAGGGAAACUUAUGAACUCAUGCCGGAAAGCGGUACAUGUGGGAGCGAGUAGCAUCCAGAAAAUAUCCACCCUAUACCUAUAAACUUCAUAGAAUAGAGAGAGAAAGGCCUUCCAUGAAUAUCCGCCGCUUACAAGAGAGAGAAGGGGAAAUGAACACUUAAAGCAGAGAGGCAAUAACGAUCAAACAGAAACAGAGAGUUCAACGCUUCAAGCAGAUAGAGAUGACGCUUAAGCAGAGAGUGAUACGAUCAGAAAGAGAAAAGCUGACAUUUCACAAAAUUAAAGUACUCAACUCCUCCCUCUCUUUCUCUCUACUGUUGCUGCUGAAGUUGCACCAUCUGCGCGCUACCGGUAGCGGGAAUGCUACCAGGCAGAUGCGGAGCAUAUGGUUCCGGCACCUUUGUCACGCACCAAUGGUACCAUGCCGUGAAGCCAAAAGCGAUCAACAUAAACACCCCCAAGAGGCCGAAGCCUGCCCACAUCGAGAAAUCUGGGGUAAACAUUAACCCUGCGGUGAUCACCAAUCCCGCCGCGGACACAAGAACCGCCACAAUCGUUAUCCUCCCCGCAUGUGCUUCCUCCAUCCUAAAUCUGUAUUCUUAAGAGAGGGAGAGUCUCCUAAUCUUAGGUAUGAAAGAUAUUGUAGAGAGAGAGACAGAGAGAGAGAGUAGGCGUUCUUGAUUUUCUUGGAGGAGGAAGAAGAAGACGGAGGAGGAGAAGAAGAGUAGGAAGAUAAUGCAAGAGAAAGAGAGGGAGGGGUGUUUGUUGAUCGGAGGAAGGACAACAAGUAUUUAGAGAGAAAGAGAGA